rfam:Pan troglodytes isolate Yerkes chimp pedigree #C0471 (Clint) chromosome 17, whole genome shotgun sequence.
GCCAGGCGUGGUGGUGCGCACCUGUAGUCCCAGCUACUCAGGAGGCUGAGGCAGGAGAAUCGCUUGAACCCAGGAGGCCAAGGUUGCAGUGAACCAAGAUCAUGCCACUGCACUCCAGCCUGGGUGACAGAGCGAGACUCUGUCUCAA